GGUGCUGUGGCUCAAGUGGUAGAGUGCUUGCCUUGCAUGCAUGAGGCCCUGGGUUUGAUUCCUCAGCACCA
rnacentral:tRNA from 1 species